rnacentral:rRNA from 1 species
UGCGUAGGCGGAUUGGAAAGUAGGGGGUGAAAUCCCAGGGCUCAACCCUGGAACUGCCUCCUAAACUAUCAGUCUAGAGUUCGAGAGAGGUGAGUGGAAUUCCAAGUGUAGAGGUGAAAUUCGUAGAUAUUUGGAGGAACACCAGUGGCGAAGGCGGCUCACUGGCUCGAUACUGACGCUGAGGUACGAAAGUGUGGGGAGCAAACAGGAUUAGAUACCCUGGUAGUC